rnacentral:rRNA from 1 species
CCUACGGGUGGCAGCAGUGAGGAAUAUUGGUCAAUGGGCGGGAGCCUGAACCAGCCAAGUCGCGUGAGGGAAGAAGGUACUGAGUAUUGUAAACCUCUUUUGCCAGGGGACAAAGGCGGCCACGGGUGGCCGUAAGAGGGUACCUGGAGAAAAAGCAUCGGCUAACUCCGUGCCAGCAGCCGCGGUAAUACGGAGGAUGCGAGCGUUAUCCGGAUUUACUGGGUGUAAAGGGCGUGUAGCCGGGAAGGCAAGUCAGUUGUGAAAUCCGGAGGCUCAACCUCCGAAUUGCAUUUGAAACUGUUUUUCUUGAGUACUGGAGAGGCAGACGGAAUUCCUGGUGUAGCGGUGAAAUGCUUAGAUAUAAGGAAGAACACCGGUGGCGAAGGCAGUCUGCUGGACAGCAACUGACGGUGAGGCGCGAAAGCGUGGGGAGCAAACAGGAUUAGAUACCCGUGUAGUC